rnacentral:rRNA from 1 species
GACAGAGGGUGCAAACGUUGCUCGGAAUUACUGGGCGUAAAGCGCGUGUAGGCGGUUCCGCAAGUCAGGUGUGAAAGCCCAGGGCUCAACCCUGAACGUGCACUUGAUACUACGGAGCUGAGUACUGAAGAGGAGAGCGGAAAUUCCCGGUGUAGAGGUGAAAUUCGUAGAUAUCGGGAGGAACACCGAGUGGCGAAGGCGGAGCUCUCUGGCAGAUA